UUUAUGGAGAGUUUGAUCUUGGCUCAGGACGAACGCUGGCGGCGUGCCUAAUACAUGCAAGUCGAGCGCAGGAAACAAGCUGAUCCCUUCGGGGUGACGCUUGUGGAAUGAGCG
rnacentral:rRNA from 1 species